rnacentral:misc_RNA from 1 species
GAUGAAGAACGUAGCGAAAUGCGAUAAGUAGUGUGAAUUGCAGAAUUCAGUGAAUCAUCGAAUCUUUGAACGCACAUUGCGCCCUUCGGUAUUCCGUUGGGCAUGCCUGUUCGAGCGUCAUUUAAACCUUCAAGCUAUGCUUGGUGUUGGGUGUUUGUUCCGCCUCUGCGCGUGGACUCGCCUCAAAUUCAUUGGCAGCCGGUAUGUUGGCUUCGUGCGCAGCACAUUGCAAGCGAUUUCAACAGACAUCCUUCCAUAAGCCCUUUUUUUACUUUGAACUCGGAUCAGGUAGGGAUACCCGCUGAACUUAAGCAUAUCAAUAAGCGGAGGA